GCCGCCUAUAUGUCCCCCUCCUCAACCAUGAUAGUCAUCAGACCAAGCCAACCAUGAGACCACUGGGACCUUCCUGACUUCCUUCUGUUCUGGGAAUGCUUUAUUUAAGGAGCUUUGUCCUGAGAGGAUCUGCCAAUCAUUGUCCACCAACCCUCUUUUCCCCUUCUCAUGCAAGGGUACUGAUAUGGUUUGGCUUUGUGUCCCCACCCAACUCAUCUUGAAUUAUAGUCCCAUAAUCUCCACAUGUCGUGGGAGGGACCUGGUGGGAGGUACUGAAUCAUGGGGGUGGUUCCCAUAUGCUGUUCUUUUAGUAGUGAGUUCUCACAAGAUCUGAUGGUUUCAUAAGGGGCUUUCCUCUGCUUGCACUCAUUCCCUCUCCUGCCAUCCUGUGAAGAGGUGCCUUCUGCCAUGAUUAUAAGUUUCCUGAGGACUCCCCAGCCAUGCAGAACUGUCCUGCACACCAGUGAAACUAAUGAGGUCAGCUGAUCUGAAGGACCCCAUCGACAUCAGCAGUUCUGAAGGAUCAUACAAGGAGCUGACUCACUGAAUGCAGUUUCCACAUCCUGACGACUUCAUCCCUUUGACCCCAACCACUCAAUGACCCCAAUUUUCCAGUCCCUCAUUCUCCACAAUCCCCUUAAAAACCCCAGCCCAGAACUCCUCAGGGAGAUGGACUUGAAGAUCUCCUCUCAUCUCCUUGCUCAGCCGCCCUGCAAUCAUUAAACUCUUUCUCUGCUGCAAACCCUACUGUCUCAGUGUAUUGGUAUGUUGCUGUGCAGUGGGCAUACAAAC
rnacentral:lncRNA from 10 species